CAGAUGACCUAUCUAUUGGAGGAAGUGGGUGUUGAAAUCACCUGUUAUCAGAUGUUCCAGAAACCCGGAGGAAGAGUCUCCAUGACAGUGCCUGUUACGUCUAAUUCUCAGAAGGUCAGCUGGACCCUGCACAUCAUCAUUCUACUUCCCCAUGCAGCGUGAGAAGCCCAAACGUCCCCCAGAGAAUGGGCUUGUGCCUCUGGAGAUGCUGUGACACGACCUCUUUAAGAGAGCCCCACUGGGGAAGCCUUUCUGCAUAGAAGAGGAUGGAAUGCCAGACAUGAGGUCAGAAUACAAGGAUGGCGGGAAUCUGAUGGUAACGUUCUGGGAACUUUAUCCUAAGGGUUGCCAUUGGCAGUGAAUUUAAUUGCAUCCAUUACCAUUAAGCUGAUUAAUAACAAUCAUAGUUACUGGAGACUCUCCCUCAUGAAUUUAAUGCAUUUAUUUAGUCAUUUAUAACACCCUCUGGAUGACCUGUUGACAAGCCGUCUCAACAGACGCUGCUGUUAUAAAGAUGAGUACGUGUGGUCCCUUCAUCAUGGGGCUACCAGUGUCUGAGAAAAUUAGGGACGGGGAAUAUCAUAAAUUUGGUUUAUCAGAUGUUUCAGUAGAUAGAUGUGCCAAGAACUAGACCACCAUAUAAAGCUUAAAGGUUAAUUUACUUAACCAGAAUCUACUGAGAAUGAACCAUAUGCAAAGUGUAGCAUAAGAGCAUGGCAAAUAAUUUUGCUUCUAGAGACACACAGCACAGUUGGUGAUGUAAUUAUGCACAUACACGCUUAUACAUAAUCAGUGGCCAUAGUUCAAAGCAGUGUGAAAUUAAGUAUUGAUUUCUACAGCAAGUAGAGCCAUGUUUCUUAGAGACCCUUUCAGGGUCCAUCAGAGAAGAGUUUCAGAGCCAGGACUGAAUAAAACCCAUUUCUACGGCAUGGAGAAUCGGGGCUGAGG